rnacentral:antisense_RNA from 1 species
GAACACAAAAUGGCGACACGUGGUUAGCAUUCGUCGCCAACGAGAAAUUGGGGUCGGCCCGAAAGCUCUAGAAUGCACCCCCCUUCUUCCCCGGGGCCUUCCACCUCCGCGAGUUUUAUGACUUAAAAAACCCCACAGGCUGGUCUGAAGAGGAAGACAAACAUAAAGAUGAAGUGCUUAAUUCAAGGUCACACAAUGUCGGGGAUGGACCUCCAGAUUUCCUUACUGGUGAGACGUGGUCUUGUAACACAGUGGUUAAGAAUGUGACUUUGGAGCCAGCCUGCUAGGGGCUGAAUUCUGACUCAGCCAUUUACUAACUGUGUGACCUUAGGUGGAGUCUCACUCUGUAGCCCAAGCUGGAGUGGUGUGAUCUCGACUCACUGCAACCUCCGCCUCCUGGGCUCAAGUGAUUCUCGUGCCUCAGCCUCCUGAGUAGCUGGGACUACAGGUCACAGAAUUUUCCACACUCCUUGACGGAGGUGCUUAACCCUUAUCCAUCAGCAUUCUCAGACAGCACCUCCGGUUAGGGACAGUAUCUGACCGUCCGACAUCCCUGCAGCCCCCAUGUGUCACACAGACUCAGCCUCAGGUAGAUGGUUUCCGUAGAUGGUGGCUUUCUUUGGACCCUUGACAUCAACCAGUUACUAUUUGGGGACCAGAUGUGCAGAGGUAAUGAAUACCAGGGAAUCAGGAAACCACUGGAUCAGUUCUUUGAGCCACAGAACAACACUCAUCCCAGCAGCUGGGAAGCUAUCUGCAAAAGUCCAUCUGCAGAAAGGGCUUCCUGGUCUUGCGUGUGGCUGGGCCAUUUCUCUGGAUGCAGGUUUUUCAUUAUACAGUCUUCUCAAAGAAACACCUGCUCUCAACACC